rnacentral:lncRNA from 1 species
CAUAAAACUAUAGCUAUGAAUUAAUUACACAAAAUCAUAUUUAUACUAAAACAUAUUAUAUUAUAUGUACGCUAUGUAGAUCUACUCAUGUGGAGUACAAUAAAAUUAGUUUUUUUAUUUUAUGAUUUUCUAUAAUUUACUGUAAUUUUUCAAAGAUUCACCUAAAAUAAAUAAACAAGAUAAAGAUAAAACCACCUCUGAAAAUUGUCUAUAACUGACUAGGGAGGUAAAACAAACGGUUUUAAAAGUUUAAGAAAGUGGUUUUUACGGUUUUAGAGUUCGAGGAAAAACAAAAUUUUGUAAAAGUUGAGGAAGGUAAUGUUGGUCUUUUUUUUUCUUUUUAUUAUCCAUGGAACUUGUGACGAGUAACGGCUUAUGACGAUUCGUUUCUGGGCCACAUCUUUACCGAGCUUUUGUAUUGCACAAUGGAACCCCUCCGGCUGAGGCCUGCGGCUUGCACAGGACACAAUAUAUCCAGCACUAUCGGCCCACGGGCUGUAGAACGAGGAGUGUUAGAAAUAUAAUUAGUUGAUCAAUUAGCAGAUAAUUAUAUAUCAUUAAACAGAUCUAAGUGCUAUGAGGGCACAUGCUAACUAGACAGUGUUUGGUUGUAGAGAUUUAAAAGUAAUAGGUGACACAUCGAAUGUCACAUGGGGUGGUCUAUAGGAUAUUUGUAUACUUAAUAAAAAAACAAAUGUAUUCAUUAAGCCUAAUUAAUUCAUCAUUACCAUAUGUGUUAUUACUUAUUAGUGUUUAUGUGGCAGAACCUCCUGAAUUAAGUGGCCCACAUGCACACAUCAUUGUCCCAAAGACUUCUGAUCUACGUGCACGAGUUCCAAAUGACUCAAGAAGUCUGUCGGGUGUCCUCGGGAAACCCGAAUCAUCCACGUUACAUUCUUUCCAGGAAUUCCCUCAUCAAGCAUUAC